rnacentral:rRNA from 1 species
CUAAAAUCGCUGAACUCACAGCAUAUUACUUGAUGUUGAUAUUCCACGUGGAUAACUGUGGUAAUUCUAGAGCUAAUACAUGCACCAAAGCUCCGAUCUCAUGACGAGCGCAUCUAUUAGACCAAAAACCAAUCGAGAAUAUUCGCCUCAAACGAAUGCCUCGUAAUUUGGUGACUCUGAUAGCUAGCUGAUCGCAUGGUCUCGCACCGGCGACGUAUCUUUCAGGUGUCUGCCUUUACAACUUUCGAUGGAGUUUUAUUGCCUACCAGGUUGUAACGGGUACCGGAGAAAAAGGUCUCACUCCCGGAAGGGGACCCUAAAAACCGCACCACCUCCCGGAAGGGCCGGGGGCCCAAAUUCCCCUCUUGGCGAGGGGGGGUGGGCAAAAAUACCACCCGUUUCUUCGAGGCCGUUACGAAAAAUCCAUUAAACCUUAAAAGAAUUUAAAAGCCUUUUUGCCCCCCCCCGGAUUCCGUUAAAGGUUUCCUUUGCCGGAAAACUUUUUUUUUACCCACCCCCCCCCAAGAAACCCCCCCCCCCCGGGUUUUCGGGUUAAAGGGCGGGGGAGUUUUAAAAAAGCCCCGCCUCGCAUCGGGAAGAGAUCGUUUUUUUUUUUCAAGAAGAGGGCUUCUCGGUUUUCGCCGCCUUUUUAAAAAAAAAAAAACCUUCAACCUCGAUGGCGAAUUGGGGGUGUAUAAGAGGGCGGUUCAACGCCGAGCUUGGGCUUGUGUAUUACACAAACCCCAGCAAGGUCGGAGUCGAUCAUAUAAUAAUCGAAUGCUGCUAUUUGCACUCAUCGUCGGCGGCGCCGCAUAUAUAUAUAUGAGCCCCGCCCGAUAUUA